rnacentral:rRNA from 1 species
UAGGGAAUCUUCCACAAUGGACGAAAGUCUGAUGGAGGCAACGCCGCGUGAGUGAAGAAGGGUUUCGGCUCGUAAAGCUCUGUUGGUAGUGAAAGAAAGAUAGAGGUAGUAACUGGCCUUUAUUUGACGGUAAUUACUUAGAAAGUCACGGCUAACUACGUGCC